CAGGGACAACAACCUAAGGCUGGGCGGAUGAGAGUGGAGUAGCAGAGCCCUUCUGAGAGGCGCAGGCCAGCAGGGAGCCAGGAAUUUCCAUGACGAAACAGACCAGGGGAAACCUUGGCAUCUUGGAGCCCUGAUGAGGGAAACCUCAGGGCUGGAGAAGGAAGGGGCCUCCCAAUACCCAGAGGAGGCUGCUGGUAAAAAAAAUAAGGACAGAGCUACGUUCCUCUUCACUCCCGGCACAGCGCCCUGCCUGGCACACAGUAGGUGCGCAGUAAAGAUGUGCCAAGGGAAUGCAUUCUGCAGAGGAGACUACAGGAUGGCCAAGGGCUGCAACGAGGAACUGGCAUGGCGUCUGCAUCUCUGCCGAUGUCUGAAGGGACCAGGUCGGAUUGAUUGGUGAAAGCUCUGGCUCCAAAUCCCCAAGAAUCUGACUGGCCAAAGUUUGGGCACACAUCGGUAUCUGACCCACCGGAAACGGAGUGGGUCACCUGCCUCAAGUGUCUGUCCCAGGCCCCUGCCUCUGUGUGCCUCCUCUAGGAAAGGGAACUGUAUGAACUGGGCAGCUGGCGUCACAGUGUCCGUCGCACCCAGGAGCAGUCACUGAUGUCCCUUUGCUGUGCAAUGCCCUCACCAGUGCGGACCACCACCACUGCCCUCAUCCAGUGAGUGCUUUCCUUGGGCCGGGCGCCUGCAGCCCUCAGUGCGCCCUGCUUCACUGAGUCCUCUCUACAGCCCAUUUUACACAUACAGAAACUGAGGCCUUGCGUGCCUGAGGACACAGGGAUGGGCAGAGCUGAAAUUCAGCCCUGGGGUCUGCCUCUAGAGUCUGGACUUUUCACACCGACUCUACUCCCUGCAAGGGAGCCAAGGCAGCAUGGACGUCCCUCCCCUGCCCAUAGGACUGGGGUACAAGACACCUCAGCACGGGGAAGACCGAGGCCCGGGCCCUCAGUUGGAUGAGCUGGGCGAGGGAGAUUCUGGUUUCCCGACAGGAGCAGGAUCUUCACACAUCCCGUCCCCGAGCUCCCCACCUCAUGGGCCGGCCUAUUUUCUGGACCUUCAAGGAAAUCAGCGCGCGGAGACCCUUGUAAAAAGGCUAUGAUUCAGCAACUCUUCAAAACUGAAGUCGUCCUUUAAGGUCCUCAAAUAAUUCUCUACAUGGGAACGCAAAAUUGAGAACAUUCCACGACUUCCAGGACCUCUGCCCCCUCAGCUACCUCCUCUGUGAAGAUCAACGCAGUAUAGACUGCUCCUCAGGGACGGAGGGGGCUGGAGAUCAAUUACAAAAGGGAGCCACUUUCUCAUUGCUGGAACAAAAUGCGUGACGCCUACAACUUCAAGGAAGGUUCACCGUGGCUCGCCAUUUCGGGGUCUCAGCCUGUGCUUGGGAGGUGCACAGGCGAAACACCACGGUGGUGGAGGGAAGCUGCUCACCCUGUGGCAGCCAGGAAGCAGAGAGGGAGCAGGCCGCUGUGGAGGGGAGGCCACGUCCCCAGCGACACAGCUCUUCUGGUCAGACCCCGCCUCCUACCUGCUCACUCACCAGCUGAGCAACAGUGGGUCAACGCGCUGAUGAGUGCAGCACCCCACAAUCCAACGCAUCUUGCAAGCACAGGAGGCUUUGUGGGGCAGCCCAGAUCUAAACCGUGACAGUAGUGUUUAUCGGAAAAUAUUUCAGGACUUUGC